rnacentral:rRNA from 1 species
CCCUUAGAUGUUCUGGGCCGCACGCGUGCUACACUGAGUGGAUCAGCGGGUCAGGUUGCGCGAAAGCGUUUCCUAAUCUUUAAAUCCGCUCGUGAUGUGGAUUGACGGUUGCAAUUUUCUGUCAUGAACGAGGAAUACCUUGUAAGCGCGGGUCAUCAUCCCGCGCUGAAUACGUCCCUGCCCUUUGUACACACCGCCCGUCGCUCCUACCGAUUGAGUGGUCCGGUGAGGCUUUGGGAUCUGAGCGGAAAGAGCGUUUCGCUGUUUCUGCUCGGAAAACUCAGUCGAACCUUAUCAUUUAGAGGAAGGAGAAGUCGUAACA